CUUUCGUUAGCAAAAAAGUGCAUUAAAUUUAGGAUUUAAAGAUGGAGCAUUUCCACGAAAGA
rnacentral:tRNA from 1 species